rnacentral:lncRNA from 1 species
GACGGGGUUUGACCAUCUUGGCCAGGCUGGUCUUGAACUCCUGACCUCGUGAUCCACCCGCCUCGGCCUCCCAAAGUGCUGGGAUUACAGGCGUGAGGCACCGCGCCUGGCCCCCUCCGUACUUUCUGAGACAUCCAUGCUGUGGGGUACAAGGCAGAGUGAGGAAGCCUGAGAAGACCGUCUGUGCAGCCAUGAUGAGCCCUCCAGGACACACCGCUCUGGGAACAAAGGACACCAGAACCCAACUUUAAGAAUGAAGCCAUUCAUACAGGGUCUCACUCUGUGAUCACCCAGGCUGGAG